AAGUCGUAACAAGGUUUCCGUAGGGGAACCUGCGGAAGGAUCAUUAACGUAUCGACGAUGCCAUUAUUGGUGUUGUUAUACAUUAAUAGUCAUAUACUUCUUUGAAUGCAAUCUUUUUUACUUGUUUUACAAGUGAAAGAGACGGUCACUACGUAGAUGCAGACUGAUGAGAAAACCGCCAUCACGAGUCUUCGUUUUAGUGAUCGACACAUAUUUAGUCAACGCCAUUAUGCGGUGGGCGUGAAACAUUCAUUUGUUAUGAAUAUAUUUUUUUUUAUUAAAACCAACCAAAUAAUCCACAAAUCAUUACCCUGGACGGUGGAUCACUUGGCUCGCGG
rnacentral:misc_RNA from 1 species